rnacentral:rRNA from 1 species
AGAGUUUGAUCCUGGCUCAGGAUGAACGCUGGCGGCGUGCCUAAUACAUGCAAGUCGAGCGAACGGACGAGAAGCUUGCUUCUCUGAUGUUAGCGGCGGACGGGUGAGUAACACGUGGAUAACCUACCUAUAAGACUGGGAUAACUUCGGGAAACCGGAGCUAAUACCGGAUAAUAUUUUGAACCGCAUGGUUCAAAAGUGAAAGACGGUCUUGCUGUCACUUAUAGAUGGAUCCGCGCUGCAUUAGCUAGUUGGUAAGGUAACGGCUUACCAAGGCAACGAUGCAUAGCCGACCUGAGAGGGUGAUCGGCCACACUGGAACUGAGACACGGUCCAGACUCCUACGGGAGGCAGCAGUAGGGAAUCUUCCGCAAUGGGCGAAAGCCUGACGGAGCAACGCCGCGUGAGUGAUGAAGGUCUUCGGAUCGUAAAACUCUGUUAUUAGGGAAGAACAUAUGUGUAAGUAACUGUGCACAUCUUGACGGUACCUAAUCAGAAAGCCACGGCUAACUACGUGCCAGCAGCCGCGGUAAUACGUAGGUGGCAAGCGUUAUCCGGAAUUAUUGGGCGUAAAGCGCGCGUAGGCGGUUUUUUAAGUCUGAUGUGAAAGCCCACGGCUCAACCGUGGAGGGUCAUUGGAAACUGGAAAACUUGAGUGCAGAAGAGGAAAGUGGAAUUCCAUGUGUAGCGGUGAAAUGCGCAGAGAUAUGGAGGAACACCAGUGGCGAAGGCGACUUUCUGGUCUGUAACUGACGCUGAUGUGCGAAAGCGUGGGGAUCAAACAGGAUUAGAUACCCUGGUAGUCCACGCCGUAAACGAUGAGUGCUAAGUGUUAGGGGGUUUCCGCCCCUUAGUGCUGCAGCUAACGCAUUAAGCACUCCGCCUGGGGAGUACGACCGCAAGGUUGAAACUCAAAGGAAUUGACGGGGACCCGCACAAGCGGUGGAGCAUGUGGUUUAAUUCGAAGCAACGCGAAGAACCUUACCAAAUCUUGACAUCCUUUGACAACUCUAGAGAUAGAGCUUUCCCCUUCGGGGGACAAAGUGACAGGUGGUGCAUGGUUGUCGUCAGCUCGUGUCGUGAGAUGUUGGGUUAAGUCCCGCAACGAGCGCAACCCUUAAGCUUAGUUGCCAUCAUUAAGUUGGGCACUCUAAGUUGACUGCCGGUGACAAACCGGAGGAAGGUGGGGAUGACGUCAAAUCAUCAUGCCCCUUAUGAUUUGGGCUACACACGUGCUACAAUGGACAAUACAAAGGGCAGCGAAACCGUGAGGUCAAGCAAAUCCCAUAAAGUUGUUCUCAGUUCGGAUUGUAGUCUGCAACUCGAC